CAGGGCGCAUGCUCCGCUCGCUUUUUAUGAAUGGGGGGCCGGAAAGGAGCGCGUCGCGGGCUGCGAAGGUUGGAGCCGGCUGCGGCUUUUUAUGAAUGGAGGCAGGCGGCAGCUGCGCGCGCACCGUCCCCAGCCGGGCCCGAGGGAGGAUCAAAGCACAAGGAGGACUCUUCAGCUGUUUGCUUUGCCAGGGCUGCAUUUAAAAAAAAAAAAAAAAGGCUCAAAAAACCCAAUCAGCUGCAGCCAGAGCAGAGCCCAGGAAUGUAGAACGGCCAGCGGAUCCCCUUCCUCAAAAUAAAAGUGCAAUACAUACAUCUGUUGCUGCUGGG
ensembl:lncRNA